rnacentral:rRNA from 1 species
CCUACGGGGCGCAGCAGUGAGGAAUAUUGGUCAAUGGCCGGAAGGCUGAACCAGCCAUGCCGCGUGAAGGUCAGUGCCCUAUGGGCGUUAAACUUCUUUUGUGCGGGAGCAAUAAUGGUCACGUGUGGCCAGACGAGAGUACCGUACGAAUAAGCAUCGGCUAACUCCGUGCCAGCAGCCGCGGUAAUACGGGUGAUGCAAGCGUUAUCCGGAUUUAUUGGGGUUAAAGGGUGCGUAGGCUGUGAGGUAAGUCAGCGGUGAAAUGCCCCCGCUCAACGGGGUGAAGUGCCAUUGAUACUGCCUUGCUGGAAUGCGGAUGCCGUGGGAGGAAUGUGUGGUGUAGCGGUGAAAUGCAUAGAUAUCACACAGAACACCGAUUGCGAAGGCAUCUCACGAAUCCGCGAUUGACGCUGAUGCACGAAAGCGUGGGUAUCAAACAGGAUUAGAUACCCCAGUAGUC